UUUGACCCUGGUAUUGAUCAGAGGGUUCCGUUUAUUUCGGAUCCCUAGGCUGAAUUUGAAGGUACUUGUACAGAUGUUGAUGUGGUUCAGAAGUAUGGGUUCAGAUGACUUUGGGUUUCAGAUGAUCUUGGGUCCCAGAUGACUUUGAUCUGUGGUUUCAGAUGCCGAAUUCAAGCCGAAGCUCUGACCCUGUGCCUUGUG
rnacentral:lncRNA from 1 species